rnacentral:misc_RNA from 1 species
UGUCUUUUUAGACCCUUUGGGAAAAGAAAUGACACCCCGGGCUAGUUGCGUGCGAACGUGACCUCUUUCACAUCUCUCAACUACGAUCAUGGGUGCAGGCAUCCAUUUCUCCACCGCCAUGACUUGCAUCGACCACAUUUCGCUCGUUCUGAUGGUGGCCGUCAUCAUCGCCAUGACUCUCCUGUUGAUCCGGUUUGCGUCCCAGAUCAACACGAUAUACAAGAAGGCAUCGCGGGACGGAGGGCCUCCCAAACAGCAUGUCAGCGCCGUCGACGUGGUUCGCACGCAGAUGUUUUCUCCAACGGUUUCGAGACGGCUGUCCGAACCCAGAUCCGAUCACAUGUGGGUGAAGGAGGAGUAUUGAGACAUGAUGACAGACAAUGACACCAACAAGCAUUAUACCACGACAACACCGACAUCACGCAACUCUUGCGACCGCACAAACCACACAGAUAUGGCAUCUACAUCCAUCUCAACCCCUGAAUCAUAUGCUGGAGCUUCAGCCGUAUUGAGCCUAUCAGCCCAACCUCAAACGCAUUGCAGAUCAUGCAACCGGUGCGGAUUCGAUCAAAGGGCCGACAGACAUCCUUCGACCGGACCUGUAGCAGCACAACCAUCGCCCCUUCGGUCACCAACCUCUCCAUCCACUGUAUUUGUAUCUAUAAUGAAUAACAAGCC